rnacentral:tRNA from 1 species
CGGAGCGUGGCGCAGUUUGGUAGCGCACACCGCUGGGGGUGGUGGGGUCGCAAGUUCAAAUCUUGUCGCUCCGA